UCCAGACUCCUACGGGAGGCAGCAGUAGGGAAUCUUUCACAAUGGGCGAAAGCCUGAUGGAGCAACGCCGCGUGCAGGAUGAAGGCCUUCGGGUUGUAAACUUCUUUUAUAAGCGAGAAAUAUGAUGGUAACUUAUGAAUAAGGAUUGGCUAACUACGUGCCAGCAGCCGCGGUAAUACGUAUGGUGCAAGCGUUAUCCGGAUUUACUGGGUGUAAAGGGAGCGUAGGCGGCGCGUUAAGUCUGAUGUGAAAACCCGAGGCUCAACCACGGGAGUGCAUUGGAAACUGGCGGGCUGGAGUGCCGGAGAGGUAAGCGGAAUUCCUAGUGUAGCGGUGAAAUGCGUAGAUAUUAGGAGGAACACCAGUGGCGAAGGCGGCUUACUGGACGGCAACUGACGCUGAGGCUCGAAAGCGUGGGGAGCAAACAGGAUUAGAUACCCCCGUA
rnacentral:rRNA from 1 species